rnacentral:SRP_RNA from 1 species
GCUGGGCGUGGUGGCACACGCCUGUAAUCCAAGCACUUUGGGAGGCUGAGGUGGGCGGAUCACCUGAGGCCAGGAGUUUGAGACCAGCCUGGCCAACAUGGUGAAACCCUGCCUCUA